rnacentral:rRNA from 1 species
GACGAACGCUGGCGGCGUGCUUAACACAUGCAAGUCGAACGGAAAGGCCCUGCUUUUGUGGGGUGCUCGAGUGGCGAACGGGUGAGUAACACGUGAGUAACCUGCCCUUGACUUUGGGAUAACUUCAGGAAACUGGGGCUAAUACCGGAUAGGAGCUCCUGCUGCAUGGUGGGGGUUGGAAAGUUUCGGCGGUUGGGGAUGGACUCGCGGCUUAUCAGCUUGUUGGUGGGGUAGUGGCUUACCAAGGCUUUGACGGGUAGCCGGCCUGAGAGGGUGACCGGACGCAUUGGGACUGAGGUACGGGCCGGAGUCCUACGGGGGGCAGACGGGGGGAGUGUUGCACAAGGGGCGGGAGCCUGAUGCAGCUACGCCGGGUGCGGGAUGACGGGCUUGGUAUUGUAAACCGACUUCGCCUGUAACGAAGCGUGAGGGGCGGUAAUGAGUAAGGAAGCACCGGCUAACGACGUG